CAGUAGCCGCGGUAAUACGAAGGGUGCAAGCGUUACUCGGAAUUACUGGGCGUAAAGCGUGUGUAGGUGGUUGUUUAAGUCUGUCGUGAAAGCCCUGGGCUCAACCUGGGAAUUGCGAUGGAUACUGGGCGACUAGAGUGCGGUAGAGGAUAGUGAAAUUUCCGGUGUAGCAGUGAAAUGUGUAGAGAUCGGAAGGAACAUCUGUGGCGAAGGCGACUAUCUGGGCCAACACUGACACUGAGACACGAAAGCGUGAGGAGCAAACAGGAUUAGAUACCCCGGUAGUCCCUGUCUCUUAUAC
rnacentral:rRNA from 1 species